CCGCGGGCUCCGAGCCAGCCUGUUCUCCCUCAGGGCCGGCGCUGGGUGUCAGGCAUUGGCUGCGGAACCAGAGGACCAGUCUUUCCAGCGUCUGUCCUCCAGCACUGCCACCUCCUCAAUCAACAAACGCACCGCCGGGCAAGCCGGAUCCGGUGGUUUCAGCCCUCCCAAACAGACCUAAUUCCCCUCUCUGUUUUUAAGGAUAAAAAUCUAUGCAUAAAAUGCCUGAAUGAUUCAGAGGGCAGGGGAGAGCUUAUCUACUUUUUCCUUCAUAUCAUCAGCUUGGCAUUUCUCGAAACAAGGAAACUAUUUUCUUUCUUUAGACAUGAAACAUGGCCUCGGAGACCUUGCCUUGCAAUCAGAAGACCGGGGCUCCCCCGGGAGCUCCAUGGAACGAACUCAUCCUGGCUGCAAACAGUUCUCUCCUCAAGGCAUUUCUCCCAUACAACCCAGGAGCAAGCCGAGCGUGCAUUUCUCGGGAAUUUGCACAAAAGGUUUUUGUCUACUGCAAAACAGUGUUUGGACAAGAUGACUUCCAAGGUGGCUUCUAGGACAACACAUCUGUCAUGGGCCCCACGAGGGUUUGCAGUGGUGGCCUCACUCCUGGUGGCCUGCCUGCUCCCUGCCCCUGGAGAUGAGAAGCCUGCCCUCAUCUGGACAAGACGGCAUGAGGAAGUGGGGCUUCUGGACUCACACCAAGGUCCUCCAAGCAAGCCUUCCAGAUCUGGGGCCGUGAGCCCAGCCAGGCCCAGCUAGCAUCUCAUAGACACCCCUGCUGCAGCCCAUCUCCCCCCACCCCACUCGCCACAUACCUGAGCCUCACCAUCCUGUACUAUUUGUUCAGUCCUGGCUUUUUAGCUGCUCGAGCAGCACCCUGGUUCCCCUCAGGCCUCCUUGUGCAGUCUGAGUCCCUCUGAGGAUGACCUUGACCAACAGAAGUGAUGGAGAGAUACCAGCUUCUUAAAGCUUUGCCCUGCCUCUUGGUUAGAAGCAACAACAAACAUCAAAAACCAAGACUAAAAAGCUAAAGAGAAAGCAAAAAGAAUCCCAUCUUCCGCACUAAACAGAAACAUCAUGGAAAGAGCAGAGGGUAGGAGUCACAAAGCCAGGUAUCAGCUGGGGGACCUUGAGCAAGUCAUCAGGCUACCUUCUUCUCGUUUCUCAGCCAGAUGACAGCAAAGGCUGCCUGCAGCUCCAAGGUCAAGGGAGAUAAUGCAGGAAAUUGUGGAUUGCCUCCAUGUAGCAGCCAUUAGGGGAAGAAUUCCUGUGUGCCGAGCAUUUUGUAAAGGGCUUGACAUGCACCAUUUCCCCACUAUGCUCCCAACUGCCCUAUGAGGUCGGUAGUUGUGUUGGCAUGCUUAGCACCCUCAAUUUAUAACUAGGGAAGUGGAGGCUCAGAAAGUCAGUUGCCCUGAGUACAUGCUAGUAAGGGGUGGGACAGGGAUUUGCACCCAGGCUUCCUGAUGCCAAGUCCCUACGAGGUGGCUGUUUCCUAAGUGCUGUUAGAUUUUGCAUUGCCAUCUUGAGCUCGCAUUGUUCACUUUGGCUUGGAGUGAAUGAGUAAAGGUUUGUGCACUGGGUGGUGGUCUAGACCCAAGAAAAGUAGCAAAUGCAGUGGUAUUCCUCCCUAGCAAAACUCACAGGAAGCACGGGGCUGGGUCCUCCGAUUUAAGGAAGACGCCCCUUGCUGGUAUUUGGAAGCUGCUCUUAUUAAUUUUUUUAAGAUUGUAUUUAUUUAUUUGAGAAAGAGAGAGAACACGGGGGGCGGGGGCAGAGGGAGAGGGAGAAGCAGACUCCCCACUGAGCAGGGAGCCCGAUAUGGGACUUGAUCCCAGGACCCCAGGAUCAUGAUCUGAGCUGAAGGCAGAUGCUUAAUCAACUGAGCCACCCAGGGGCUCCUGGAAGCUGCUCUUGCUAAAUGAGCCGGCCAGGCCUUCUCCAGGGCUCCCACAACUUCUACCCCUCUGGCUGGUUUCUCUGCUCAGCCCCUGGGUUCUCUGGGUUCUGUGGUGUGGCUGCAGCUCUCUUUGGCCUAUUCACAUCCGUUUCUAAAGCUACAGCCACACCCUGUGCUGGCCUGGUCUGCUGCUGCUGGCUGCAACUUCAUGAAUGCACACUUAUGAAUCCAUACUCCCAAUCAUGGAUUUCUUUUCAGGGCUCCCCAGGCCACCCCCAGCCACACCUGCCCCAACACCCGCACACACUGGGACUGCAGUCAGACACUUGAAGGAAUCCUGGAGCUGCUCUGUCCUAGGUGGUAGCCCCCAGCCACCAGCGACGGGACACUGUCUUACUUGAGAUGUGCUAUGAGGCAAAAUACACAGCAAAUUUUUAAAGACCUACUAUGCAAAAGGAGGAUAUAAAAUAAUUCAAUUUUUUAAAAAAUUUAAUUUAAUUUUUAAAAUUAAGAUAUAAUUCACAUAUAGCAUGGUAUUAGUUUUGGAAGCACAAUCUGGUAAGUUGAUAUUUAUAUAUAUUGUGAAAUGAUGGCCACAGUAAGUUCAUUUACCAUUAAUCCUCACACAUAAUUACAAUUUUUUUUCCUGGUGAUGAGAACUUUUAAGAUCUACUCUCUUAGCAAAUUUGAGAUUUACCGUACAGUAUUGUCAAAUAUGGUCACCAUAUAUAGAUUAUAUGUUGAAAUAAUAUUUUGGAUGGAUUGAGCUGAAUAAAACAUGUUAUUAGAAUUAAUUAUACCUGUCU
rnacentral:lncRNA from 1 species